rnacentral:rRNA from 1 species
UACGUAGGGUGCGAGCGUUAAUCGGAAUUACUGGGCGUAAAGGGUGCGCAGGCGGUUCUGCAAGUCAGGCGUGAAAGCCCCGGGCUUAACCUGGGAAUGGCGCUUGAAACUACGGGACUGGAGUAUGGCAGAGGGAGGUGGAAUUCCACGUGUAGCGGUGAAAUUCGUAGAUAUCGGGAGGAACACCAGUGGCGAAGGCGGCGAUCUGGGAAGAUACUGACGCUGAGGUGCGAAAGCGUGGGGAGCAAACAGG